AUAUCGCUAUAAAAUUUUCCAGAGCCCCAUGGCUCACCGCACCUGUGCGGGGUCCAGUUCCUGCUGUGAACCUCUGGCUUCCACAUCCGAUGCCUGAGGGAUGCAGCUGUGGGGACUGCAAGUAGUUCCAGGGCAAUGCCAACGAACAGAAAGGCGGCAUGGAUCCAUUGAUUCCAGACAUGGUAUGAAAUCAAGCAAAGGGCUAUUUUAUAUCGAUAAGUGAUCCAACUCACAGUGGGGAGAAAAUAGCUCCUGCUACUUAACGUGUUCAGUAGACCUAGCUCCACAAACAUGUGCAGAGGCAGUCAGGCAUUCUCAGAGCUCUGAAUGAGUGAAUGCCUUUCCCAAAUCCUGCUGAAGAUAACAAGUCUGGUAAGGUAGUGAGAACUCUCUAGCAGCUGGUGGACUCGGGAAGAGUCCAACGGGGUUGUAGCAGGAAUCCCGGCACAGUCCGUGUUGAAAGGGACUCUCCCUCUCACCUUUGUGGAUGGAGGUCCUCCACAUGAGAAGGACUGAGACUUAUGAAGGACUUCGAGAAUCAAAAUAGAGAAUUAGCCUGAAUAAACAAAGCAGCUGUUCUAAGACCUCA
rnacentral:lncRNA from 1 species